AUACUUACCUGGACGGGGUCAACGGGUGAUCAAAAAGGCUCGUGGCCUAGAUCAAUGGCUCACAUUGCACAGAGUGAGUGUGUUGGUCUACCAUCUCCUUAAAUAGGAGAGUGGACGUCAUAAUUUCUGUUAGAGGGGUAUGCGUCCGCGCGACCCCUGC
rnacentral:snRNA from 1 species